UUAAGAUUUCCUUAUCCCCUGCUAUGUUAAUAGCUUGCUUGACCCUGCAAGAGCCUCCUGUAUGUGAUUAAAGUUCAAUUUAGAGAUUGAGAUACAAUUAUUUAAGGUAAAUUACAUCUGUUUGAAAGUGAAAUCAGUUUUUUUUCAUGCAGGCUCUGUCAAUCAUAGCCAGGGGAGGUGUGGCUAGGGCUGCAUAAAAAGAAAC